UAACCAGAAAAAUUAAUCUGGCGCAAUGUAGAUACGAAUUGCAGUAUAAUAUGUGUAUAUGUACAGUGUGUUUUGUGACAAUUUCAUGGCUUGUUUCGAAUAAAUUUUUCACCUUUACUCCGUAGCGAGCAUGAAUGUUCACUGUUCUCCGACUUCCAGCUGCGGAAAAGGAAGCUAACAAUCUGGAUGGAAGCCAUCAGGGUACUUUGGUGAGAUGUUUUUCUCAUUUGGUUUCAAUAAUUCUGUUCAUGCUGUAGAUUACAGGGUGUCCAUAUUUGCAGAUAUGCUUUUGUCUGUAGAGGAUCAGGAACCAUUCACGAGCUCUUACAUGAUGCAAUGCCAUGCCAGUAAUUGCAAAGGGUGAAAGCUCCAUUUUUGACGUGAGCCUAGCUUAACUGUAGACAAGCUGCAUUUUUUCCAUUCUGUUGUUUGUCUUUCCCUGUGCAUGUUAGGACCUUUUUUUUCUCUUCCCAACUUUUGUCCAUUUGCCCCAAAUUAGCUUCCUUGGUAUUUCUGGCUGCCUUAACUGGCCCUAUUCACUUUUUGGCCUGUGGCACUGAACUGAAACUCAAACCAAACAAGAUCCAAAGACUUCAACAAAGUCUUUGACCAUCGAGUUUUUACAAUGCUUUCAUUUGUGUAGUGUGAAAUGGAAACAAAGAUCACAGUAAACCAGACUGAUGACACAGCACAGCAACCAUGCACUGCUUUUAAUAUGCAGAUUCAGUCAGUUUUCUCUGAUGCUUGCUGCACUGGUCAGAAGUAGAGACAACCAAAGGCUCAAGCUUUUAAUUCAAUAUAAGCAAAAUGCAGGUACUUAGGAUGUCUCAGAACCUGACACCAACGUUACUGUUUCAGCAGAAGAUAACUUCACCUUUACUCCGUAGCGAGCAUGAAUGUUCACUGUUCUCCGACUUCCAGCUGCGGAAAAGGAAGCUAACAAUCUGGAUGGAAGCCAUCAGGGUACUUUGGUGAGAUGUUUUUCUCAUUUGGUUUCAAUAAUUCUGUUCAUGCUGUAGAUUACAGGGUGUCCAUAUUUGCAGAUAUGCUUUUGUCUGUCGAGGCUCAGGAACCAUUCACGAGCUCUUACAUGAUGCAAUGCCAUGCCAGUAAUUGCAAAGGGUGAAAGCUCCAUUUUUGACGUGAGCCUAGCUUAACUGUAGACAAGCUGCAUUUUUUCCAUUCUGUUGUUUGUCUUUCCCUGUGCAUGUUAGGACCUUUUUUUUCUCUUCCCAACUUUUGUCCAUUUGCCCCAAAUUAGCUUCCUUGGUAUUUCUGGCUGCCUUAACUGGCCCUAUUCACUUUUUGGCCUGUGGCACUGAACUGAAACUCAAACCAAACAAGAUCCAAAGACUUCAACAAAG
rnacentral:lncRNA from 1 species